rnacentral:rRNA from 1 species
UACGUAGGGGGCUAGCGUUGUCCGGAAUCAUUGGGCGUAAAAGCGCGCGUAGGCGGCCCGGUAAGUCCGCUCUGAAAGUCCAGGGCUCAACCCUGGAAUGCGGGUGGAUACUGCCGGGCUAGAAUCCGGAAGAGGCGAGUGGAAUUCCUGGUGUAGCGGUGGAAUGCGCAGAUAUCAAGGAGGAACACCAAUAGCGAAGGCAGCUC